CCUACGGGUGGCAGCAGUGGGGAAUUUUGGACAAUGGGCGCAAGCCUGAUCCAGCUAUUCCGCGUGUGGGAUGAAGGCUUUCGGGUUGUAAACCACUUUUGUAGAGAACGAAAAGACACCUUUGAAUAAAGGGUGUUGCUGACGGUACUCUAAGAAUAAGCACCGGCUAACUACGUCCCAGAAGCGGCGGUAAUACGUAGGGUGCGAGCUUUAAUCGGAAUUACUGGGCGUAAAGGGUGAGCAGGCGGAAGAUCAAGUCAGCGGUAAAAUUGAGAGGCUCAACCUCUUCGAGCCGUUGAAACUGGUUAUCUUGAGUGAGUGAGAAGUAUGCGGAAUGCGUGGUGUAGCGGUGAAAUGCAUAGAUAUCACGAAGAACACCGGUUGCGAAGGCAGCAUACCGGCGCUCAACUGACGCUCAUGCACGAAAGUGUGGGUAUCGAACAGGAUUAGAUACCCCUGUAGUC
rnacentral:rRNA from 1 species